AUUCUGAUCCGAGGAUCAGCUGGAGGAAGCAAUAACAGAGGGAAAAUCUGCAGGGGAAAAAAUCGAGCAAGAGGGAAAAAACUGCAGAUGUUAUACUCUGAACAUCAGGUGUAAAUUCAAGUUUUACACGAAGCCCCUUCUUCUACGAAGAAAGCCUUUUUUUUAUUUUGUAUUAUGGUGUUUUAACUACCUCACUUAAAAGGCAACCUAAAGCUAUGCUUUAAGAAUUAUUGUCGUUUCUACUUUGUGUGAGAUCAUCACGUUUACAAUUUGAAAUAUAUUGCUAAUACAGCGUGAGACUCCUGUGUCCUCCUGUCGGCUCCUGGUGUCAGUGUCACCAUGGCAACCGUCCAAAUAAGCAGGAAGUGUCGCUUUCCACCCAUGCGUAACAUAUGUCCCUAUCCUUCUUCAUCACGCUUCUUUCCUUUCAUUUAUCUUCCUCACCUCAUUGUACACCUUUCUCCCUCUCUCGACCUCCUCUGUUUUUAUCCAUACCUGUAGCCUAAUUGCUAUCUCUCUCCUUUCCUCUUCUCCCCUUACAUUAAUCUCUCACACUUUUCAUUUGUCUCUCUUCCUCCUUCCUCUUUAUAACCCCCCCCCCUCUCCCCCAUAUUAUCUAAUUUUAGAAAGUACACCCUGUCAGAUCAGAGAGAUCAGUGUUCCGUCAUACCGUCCAGUAGCCUCUGCAGGAAUGAUAUGUCUCUCUGAUAUCCAAUAUCUCCCUCCAUGGUUAAAUACAGGGACAGAAAAGUGCAGGCUCCAGUGGCUCAGUUGGUUAGAGUAUGAGGCUUGCAAUAUCAGGGAUGUAGGUUCGAUCCCCAGAUGACCUAUGAAGUGUCUAAACUUUUUGUAUAUUAUAUUAUACUGUAUUUGUUAUUUUUUUACUGUCUUUGUGUUACUCCUUCCCCCUAGACUCCAGGCCCUGAUUACGACCCGAGUUAAGCGUGCGUAAAUUGAACUUUACUCUCUAUGCAUAUUCUGACCUUGAACUUAAGCAUGGGUCUAGCGAACCUGCCAGUUCCAGGUGGAAAAAACGUGUACUUUAUUUUUUUCAUAUAGAAAUAACAGCAUUCUCCAUGCACUGUAAUUUCUGAAUGGAUAAGAGCUAUGUAAAUGCAUAAUCCGUUUGGAGAAGGGGAUUGUAAAUACACACAUCAAUUGUUUUAAGUGAUUUUUACUUAUGAUCCCUGGAGACGAAUGUGAAACCAGUGAUAUGGAAGCUAACUGAAAAGCAUGACAACAUGACAUGUCUUGCUGCCUCUUUCCCACAGUGAAAUAGGUUACAAACACACCAAGACAGCCUUGAAGAGGGCACGAAAAUGCCUUUCCCCCUCAGGAGAUUGAAAAGAAUAGGCAUGGGUCCCCAGAUCCUCAAAAAGUUUUACAGCUGAUCCAUUGAGAGCAUCCUGACUGGUUGCAUCAUUGCCUGGUAUGACAACUGCUCGGCAUCCGACCGUAAGGCGCAACAGAGGGUAGUGCGUACGGCCCAGUACAUCACUGGGGCCAAGCUUCCUGCCAUCCAGGACCUUUAUACUAGGCGGUGUCAGAGGAAGGCCCAAAACAUUGUCAAAGACUCCAGUCACCCAACUCAUAGCCUGCUCUCUACGGCAAGCGUUACCGAAGCGCCAAGUCUAGGUCCAAAAGGCUCCUUAACUGCUUCUACCCCCAAGCCUUAAGACUGCUGAACAAUUAAUCAAAUGCCCCCUCCCCCCCUUUGUUUUGACACUGCUGCUACUCGUGGUUUAUUAUCUAUGCAUAGUCACAUUACCCCUACCUACAUGUACAAAUUACCUCGACUAACCUAUAUCCUCACACAUUGACUCGGUACCGGUAGGCCCCUGUAUGUAGCCUCGUUAUUGUUAUCUUACUGUGUAACUUUUACAUUUUUUACUAUAGUGUAUUUAGUAAAAAAUUUUUUUACUCUACAUUCUUAAAACGACAUUGUUGGUUAAGGGCUUGUAAGUAAGCUUUUUACGGUAAGGUCUACACCUGUUGUAUUCAGCAUUUUAUGGUAAGGUCUACACCUGUUGUAUUCGACACGUGACCUUUUUUGUGUGAUUUGAUAAAUAGCUGUGCCAUCGUUCUGAAUUUUAAUUGUGUGCCCUCAUAAUUUGCAUGGAUGAAAGUUGGACACCCAAGCUAUAGGCUUCUGUAGGGCUGAACCUAGGCUUCUUUAGGGCUGAACCUAGGCUUCUGUAGGGAUGAAUCUAGGCUUCUGUAGGGCUGAACCUAACGAAUUUACAGUUGAAGUUGGAGGUUUACAUACACUUAGGUUGGAGUCAUUAAAACUAAUUUUUCAACCACUCCACAAAUGUCUUGUUAACAAAUUAUAGUUUUGGCAAGUUGGUUAGGACAUCUACUUUGUGCAUGACACAAGUAAUUUUUCCAACAAUUGUUUAGAGACAGAUUAUUUCACUUAUAAUUCAUUGUAUCACAUUACCAGAGGCUCAGAAGUUUACAUACACAAAGCUGACUGUGCCUUUAAACAGCUUGGAAAAUUCCAGAAAAU
ensembl:lncRNA